rnacentral:rRNA from 1 species
UACGGGGGGGGUAAGCGUUGUUCAGAAUUACUGGGCGUAAAGGGCUCGUAGGCGGCCAACUAAGUCGGACGUGAAAUCCCUCAGCUUAACUGGGGAACUGCGUCCGAUACUGGAUGGCUUGGAUUUGGGAGAGGGAUGCGGAAUUCCAGGUGUAGCGGUGAAAUUCGUAGAUAUUCGCAAGAACACCAGUGGCGAAGGCGGCUCACUGGCACGAUACUGACGCUGAGGCACGAAAGCGUGGGGAGCAAACAGG